rnacentral:rRNA from 1 species
ACGAACGCUGGCGGCGUGCUUAACACAUGCAAGUCGAACGGUGAAGCGCCUUCCUUUUUGGUGGGUGUGGAUGAGUGGCGAACGGGUGAGUAACACGUGAGUAACCUGCCCCCUUCUUCUGGAUAACCGCAUGAAAGUGUGGCUAAUACGGGAUAUUCUGGGUCUGUCGCAUGAUGGGUCUGGGAAAGAUAUUGUUUCGGUGGGGGAUGGGCUCGCGGCCUAUCAGCUUGUUGGUGGGGUGAUGGCCUACCAAGGCGGUGACGGGUAGCCGGCCUGAGAGGGUGGACGGUCACACUGGGACUGAGACACGGUCCAGACUGCUACGGGAGGCAGCAGUGGGGAAUAUUGCGCAAUGGGCGCAAGCCUGAUGCAGCGACGCCGCGUGAGGGAUGGAGGCCUUCGGGUUGUGAACCUCUUUCGCCAGUGAAGCAGGCCUGCCUCGUUUGUGGGUGGGUUGACGGUAGCUGGAUAAGAAGCGCCGGCUAACUACGUG